rnacentral:rRNA from 1 species
CUGAAGACCUUACCCGACUUAGCUGAGAGGUGGUGCAUGGCCGUCGUCAGUUCGUACUGUGAAGCAUCCUGUUAAGUCAGGCAACGAGCGAGACCCACGUCCACAGUUGCCGGCAUACCCUCCGGGGUGAUGGGUACACUGUGGAGACCGCCGCUGCUAAAGCGGAGGAAGGAGUGGGCAACGGUAGGUCAGUAUGCCCCGAAUCUCCCGGGCUACACGCGGGCUACAAUGGUUGGUACAAUGGGCAUCUACCCCGAAAGGGGAAGGAAAUCUCUUAAAGCCAAUCGUAGUUCGGAUUGAGGGCUGCAACUCGCCCUCAUGAAGCUGGAAUCCGUAGUAAUCGCGUUUCAACAGAACGCGGUGAAUACGUCCCUGCUCCUU